rnacentral:misc_RNA from 1 species
GUGAAUCAUCAAAUUUUUGAACGCAAAUUGCGCUUCCUGGUAUCCCGGGAAGUAUGCCUAUUUGAGGGUCAGUAUUAACAAAAAAUCGGUUUGGUUGCAAAUUGUGACGAUUCCGGAGUUUGGUCUUAUCUUAACUUUUUUGGUUAAGGGGCUUAAAAUUGACCUUUUUUGCGUAUUUUUAUCCGUUCAUACAUUUUUUUAUAUGCGUCUAUUCUUAAUGU